rnacentral:sRNA from 1 species
GUCGUGAGAUGUUGGGUUAAGUCCCGCAACGAGCGCAACCCUUGUCCCUAGUUGCUACGCAAGGGCACUCUAGGGAGACUGCCGGUGACAAACCGGAGGAAGGUGGGGAUGACGUCAAGUCCUCAUGGCCCUUAUGGGUAGGGCUUCACACGUCAUACAAUGGCCGGUACAGAGGGUUGCCAACCCGCGAGGGGGAGCCAAUCCCAGAAAGCCGGUCGUAGUCCGGAUUGCAGUCUGCAACUCGACUGCAUGAAGUCGGAAUCGCUAGUAAUCGCGGAUCAGCAUGUCGCGGUGAAUACGUUCCCGGGUCUUGUACACACCGCCCGUCACACCAUGGGAGUGGGUUUCACCAGAAGCCGGUUGCCUAACCGCAAGGAGGGCGCUGACCACGGUGAGAUUCAUGACUGGGGUGAAGUCGUAACAAGGUAGCCGUACCGGAAGGUGCGGCUGGAUCACCUCCUUUCUAGAGCGAUUAGGAGUUAGGAGAUAGGAGUUAGGAGUUAGAAGCUCUUGACCGAUCUCUGCGACUUCUCAAGCCCGUCAAAGUGUCCACAGCCUAUCGGUUGUAUGAGAGAAAAGCGGGGGCUUUUGGGCUAGGCGCGCAACACUAGCCUGAGCGCUUAACGGCCCUGAGAUAAGCGGGGUCUGUAGCUCAGUUGGUUAGAGCACACGCUUGAUAAGCGUGGGGUCGGUGGUUCAAGUCCACCCAGACCCACCAAGGAUCGGGAUCGGGGGCUGUAGCUCAGCUGGGAGAGCACCUGGUUUGCAACCAGGGGGUCGUCGGUUCGAUCCCGAUCAGCUCCACCACCACAGAUGCCAGAAGUCAGAUGACAGAGAUCAGCCCAUGCGCCUUAGGCGUUGUGGCACUCUGUGCUCUGACUUCUGACUUCUGAAUGUUGAAGUCGGCUGUUCUUUAAAAAUUUGGAAGAAGUAGAAGCGUUUCGAUCUCAAGCAAAUGGAUCGAAGCGACUGGGUAUGAUGAUUGUAUCGUGCGCUUGCUCGAACACAAAAGGCGAGUGAGUGGCACAACCAAGCGCUGAAGAACCUGUGGCUCAAUGACACUCGCAAGAGUGCUCAAAGUUAUAGGAUCAAGCGACAAAGUGCAUGUGGUGGAUGCCUUGGCGAUUACAGGCGAAGAAGGACGUGGCAGCCUGCGAAAAGCCUCGGGGAGCUGGCAAACGAGCUUUGAUCCGAGGAUGU